GGGGCUGUGGCUCAACGGUAGAGCUUUCGACUCCAGAUCGAAGGUUGCAGGUUCGAUUCCUGUCAGCCUCA